CUUAAAGGAGCAUGAGUAUCGCCUCCUGGCCCGCCUUGAGGAGCUAGACUUGGCCAUCUACAAUAGCAUCAAUGGUGCCAUCACCCAGUUCUCUUGCAACAUCUCCCACCUCAGCAGCCUGAUCGCUCAGCUAGAAGAGAAGCAGCAGCAGCCCACCAGGGAGCUCCUGCAGAAUUUUUUUUAAACAGAUGGAGCAUGAAACUGAAGGUGGAUGAUGAGGAAAGUAGAGAAAGAAAGAAGUCAUGGACUCAGUAAGGGAGGAGGGGCUCCAUGAAUAUCAAAAAGUGUUUAUGUUGGAAGUCACUGGAAAAGCAGGAUAAAUAUUACUUAAUGGGGCAAUACUGGAGGCAUUCCCAUUGAAGUCAGAAACAGGCCGGAUGCCCAGUAUCAUUUAUCUCUAUUUAACACUGCAUUAAAGGUUGUAACCAGUUCAGUUAAAUAAAAUAAUUAUAGGUAUACAAAUUGGGAAAGAAGUUAACAUACAGAAAUCAGCAGCCUUCAUAUGCCAGAUAGCAGCCACUAGAAGACAUAUUAGAAGAGAACAUGCUGUUUCCAUUUGCAAAAAAAAAAAAAACAAGUGAUAAAAUAUCUGGAAAUAAGUUUAUAAGAAAUAUACAAAAACCUAUGUGGAGAAAAUUAUAAAACAUUCAAACAUCCCUGAAAGACACAAAAUAAACUUGAACAAAUAAA
rnacentral:sRNA from 1 species